rnacentral:rRNA from 1 species
GACGUAGGGCGCGAGCGUUGUCCGGAUUUAUUGGGCGUAAAGAGCUCGUAGGCGGCUUGUCGCGUCGACUGUGAAAACCCGCAGCUCAACUGUGGGCUUGCAGCUGAUACGGGCGGGCUGGAGUUCGGUAGGGGAGACUGGAAUUCCUGGUGUAGCGGUGAAAUGCGCAGAUAUCAGGAGGAACACCGGUGGCGAAGGCGGGUCUCUGGGCCGAUACUGACGCUGAGGAGCGAAAGCGUGGGGAGCGAACAGG